rnacentral:rRNA from 1 species
GCCCUUAGAGUUUGAUCCUGGCUCAGGAUGAACGCUAGCUACAGGCUUAACACAUGCAAGUCGAGGGGCAGCAUGAACUUAGCUUGCUAAGUUUGAUGGCGACCGGCGCACGGGUGAGUAACACGUAUCCAACCUUCCGUUUACUCAGGGAUAGCCUUUCGAAAGAAAGAUUAAUACCUGAUAGUAUGGUGAGAUUGCAUGAUAACACCAUUAAAGAUUUAUUGGUAAACGAUGGGGAUGCGUUCCAUUAGGUAGUAGGCGGGGUAACGGCCCACCUAGCCUGCGAUGGAUAGGGGUUCUGAGAGGAAGGUCCCCCACAUUGGAACUGAGACACGGUCCAAACUCCUACGGGAGGCAGCAGUGAGGAAUAUUGGUCAAUGGGCGAGAGCCUGAACCAGCCAAGUAGCGUGAAGGAUGAAGGUCCUACGGAUUGUAAACUUCUUUUAUACGGGAAUAAAGUUUCCUACGUGUAGGAUUUUGUAUGUACCGUAUGAAUAAGCAUCGGCUAACUCCGUGCCAGCAGCCGCGGUAAUACGGAGGAUGCGAGCGUUAUCCGGAUUUAUUGGGUUUAAAGGGAGCGCAGACGGGAGAUUAAGUCAGUUGUGAAAGUUUGCGGCUCAACCGUAAAAUUGCAGUUGAUACUGGUUUCCUUGAGUGCAGUUGAGGCAGGCGGAAUUCGUGGUGUAGCGGUGAAAUGCUUAGAUAUCACGAAGAACCCCGAUUGCGAAGGCAGCUUGCUAAACUGUAACUGACGUUCAUGCUCGAAAGUGUGGGUAUCAAACAGGAUUAGAUACCCUGGUGGUCCACACGGUAAACGAUGGAUACUCGCUGUUGGCGAUAUACUGUCAGCGGCCAAGCGAAAGCAUUAAGUAUCCCACCUGGGGAGUACGCCGGCAACGGUGAAACUCAAAGGAAUUGACGG